rnacentral:rRNA from 1 species
CCGACUGUCUAAUUAAAAGAAAGCAUUGCGAUGGCCGCUGAACGGUGUUGAUGCAAUGUGAUUUCUGCCCAGUGCUCUGAAUGUCAACGUGAAGAGAUUCAUCAAAGCGUGGAUAAACGGCGGGAGUAACUAUGACUCUCUUAUGAUGAUCCUGCGAUAGGGUCUGGAGGGCAUGGGUUUGACUCCUACGAUAGACAAGAGGAAAACCGCG